AUUGAACGCUGGCGGCAGGCCUAACACAUGCAAGUCGACCGAGUGGCGGACGGGUGAGUAAUGUCUGGGAAACUGCCUGAUGGAGGGGGCUAACUACUGGAAACGGUAGCUAAUACCGCAUACCAUCGGAUGUGCCCAGAUGGGCUUAGCUUGUAGGUGGGGUAACGGCUCACCUCGGCGACGCUCCCUAGCUGGUCUGCGAGGAUGACCAGCCACACUGGAACUGAGACACGGUCCAGACGCCGACGGCAGGCAGCAGUGGGGAAUAUUGCACAAUGGGCGCAAGCCCGAUGCAGCCAUGCGGCGUGUAUGAAGAAGGCCUUCGGGUUGUAAAGUACGUUCAGCGGGGAGGCGUUACCCGCAGAAGAAGCACCGGCUAACUCCGUGCCAGCAGCCGCGGUAAUUC
rnacentral:rRNA from 1 species